rnacentral:rRNA from 1 species
GACGAACGCUGGCGGCGUGCCUAAUACAUGCAAGUAGAACGCACAGUUUAUACCGUAGCUUGCUACACCAUAAACUGUGAGUUGCGAACGGGUGAGUAACGCGUAGGUAACCUGCCUGGUAGCGGGGGAUAACUAUUGGAAACGAUAGCUAAUACCGCAUCAUAUUGAUUAUUGCAUGAUAAUUGAUUGAACGAUGCUAUUGCAUCACUACCAGAUGGACCUGCGUUGUAUUAGCUAGUAGGUGAGGUAACGGCUCACCUAGGCGACGAUACAUAGCCGACCUGAGAGGGGGAGAGGCCACACUGGGACUGAGACACGGCCCAGAAUACUACGGGAGGCAGCAGUAGGGAAUCUUCGGCAAUGGACGAAAGUCUGAACGAGCAACGCCGCGUGAGUGAAGAAGGUUUUCGGAUCGUAAAGCUCUGUUGUAAGAGAAGAACGGGUGUGAGAGUGGAAAGUUCACAAUGUGACGGUAUCUUACCAGAAAGGGACGGCUAACUACGUG